GUCCACGCCGUAAACGAUGUCGACUAGCCGUUGGGCCCUUAUGGGGUUUAGUGGCGCAGCUAACGCAUUAAGUCGACCGCCUGGGGAGUACGGCCGCAAGGUUAAAACUCAAAUGAAUUGACGGGGCCCGCACAAGCGGUGGAGCAUGUGGUUUAAUUCGAUGCAACGCGAAGAACCUUACCUACCCUUGACAUCCCCAGAAUUUGGCAGAGAUGCCUUAGUGCCUUCGGGAACUGGGAGACAGGUGCUGCAUGGCUGUCGU
rnacentral:rRNA from 1 species